rnacentral:rRNA from 1 species
AGCCCGGAGAAAUCCGGAUUAAUACCCCAUAACACAUGAAGCGGCAUCGCUUUAUGUUGAAAGCUCCGGCGGUUAAAGAUGAGUAUGCGUCUGAUUAGCUAGUUGGUGAGGUAACGGCUCACCAAGGCGACGAUCAGUAGGGGAUCUGAGAGGAUUAACCCCCACACGGAUACUGAGACACGGAUCCGACUCCUACGGGAGGCAGCAGUAAGGAAUAUUGGACAAUGCCCGCAAGGGUGAUCCAGCCAUGCCGCGUGCAGGAAGACGGCCCUAUGGGUUGUAAACUGCUUUUACACCGGAGAAAACCUCCCCUCGUGAGGGGAGCUGAUAGUAUGGUGAGAAUAAGCAUCGGCUAACUUCGUGCCAGCAGCCGCGGUAAGACGAAGGAUGCAAGCGUUAUCCGGAUUCAUUGGGUUUAAAGGGAGCGUAGGUGGACUGAUAAGUCAGUGGUGAAAUCUUCGAGCUUAACUCGGAAAUUGCCAUUGAUACUGUUGGUCUUG